AACGGUCUAUACCUGCGGUACCUGCGGAGGGAUCAUUAUAGAGUGGUAAACCCCCCGUAAAAGGGGGGGACCUCCUGUCCUUUGUAGGCUCUUUUUUAAAAGGGCUUUUUUUAAUUUUCUGCUUCGGUGGGGUUAUCCCACCGGAACAACCUCAAAACUCUUAUCAAAAAAUCGUUCUGUCUGAGAACCUUUUAUAAUAAAAAAAAACUUUCAACAACGGAUCUCUAGAUCGGAAGAGCA
rnacentral:misc_RNA from 1 species